rfam:Salmo salar isolate Sally breed double haploid chromosome ssa21, whole genome shotgun sequence.
UAUGAAAUGAAAUGUAAGUCGCUCUGUAUAAGAGCGUCUGCUAAAUGACUAAAA